rnacentral:lncRNA from 1 species
GCUUUUGACUGGGGGUUAUUUUCACUUCUAUAAUGUAAUGUGUCCAUGUCAUAAUCUUGAACAACAUUCCAAUCUCCCGCUACUACAAUUGACGAAUUGCAUAGUGGGAUAUUUUGUGUUUUAUGUUCUCAAAAAAGACUGGGUCAUCAUUAUUCGGUCCAUAUAUAGCUGCCAAAGUUAUACGGUAGUCCUGAAUGGUGAUAUCUAGUAUAAUAAAAUUACCCAUCAGGUCUAUAGUUUCCUCAUGGAUCUUGAAUUCAAAAGUAUUUUUGAAAAGAAUAGCUACCCCUCUACUUUUACUAGAAUAAGAACUAAAUUUCCCCACAUAUCCCCAUUCAUGAAGCCAUUGUUUUUCUUUUUCAGAUGUGCUAUGGGUGUCUACUAAUAUAGUUAUAUCAUAUAAGUCCUUAUAUUUUGUAAAUAUAUCAAUUCUUUUAACUGUUUCUGAUAAACCCCUGCAGUUUACGCU